ACACAACGCACACACCCAACAUCAGCCCUGCUGCUGAGACACAACAUCAGCCCUGCUGCUGAGACACAACAUCAGCCCUGCUGCUGAGACAGAACAUCAGCCCUGCUGCUGAGACACAACAUCAGCCCUGCUGCUAAGACACAACAUCAGCCCUGUUGCUGAGACAAAUGAGUAAUCAAAGAGUACUCAGGAGUAAUCAAAGAGUACUCAGGAGUAAUCAAAGAGAGGUGGGAGGAGUAAUCAAAGAGAGGUGGGAGGAGUAAUCAAAGAGAGGUGGGAGGAGUAAUCAAAGAGAGGUGGGAGGAGUAAUCAAAGAGAGGUGGGAGGAGUAAUCAAAGAGGUGGAAGGAGUAAUCAAAGAGAGGUGGGAGGAGUAAUCAAAGAGGUGGAAGGAGUAAUCAAAGAGGUGGAAGGAGUAAUCAAAGAGAGGUGGGAGGAGUAAUCAAAGAGAGGUGGGAGGAGUAAUCAAAGAGAGGUGGGAGGAGUAAUCAAAGAGGUGGAAGGAGUAAUCAAAGAGAGGUGGGAGGAGUAAUCAAAGAGGUGGAAGGAGUAAUCAAAGAGAGGUGGGAGGAGUAAUCAAAGAGAGGUGGGAGGAGUAAUCAAAGAGAGAUGGGAGGAGUAGUCAAAGAGAGAUGGGAGGAGUAAUCAAAGAGAGGUGGGAGGAGUAAUCUAAGAGAGGUGGGAGGAGUAAUCAAAGAGAGGUGGGAGGAGUGAUCAAAGAGAGGUGGGAGGAGUAAUCAAAGAGAGGUGGGAGGAGUAAUCAAAGAGAGGUGGGAGGAGUAAUCAAAGAGAGAUGGGAGGAGUAAUCUAAGAGAGGUGGGAGGACUAAUCAAAGAGAGGUGGGAGGAGUAAUCAAAGAGAGGUGGGAGGAGUAAUCAAAGAGAGAUGGGAGGAGUAAUCAAAGAGAGAUGGGAGGAGUAAUCUAAGAGAGGUGGGAGGAGUAAUCAAAGAGAGGUGGGAGGAGUAAUCAAAGAGAGGUGGGAGGAGUAAUCAAAGAGAGAUGGGAGGAGUAAUCUAAGAGAGGUGGGAGGAGUAAUCAAAGAGAGAUGGGAGGAGUAAUCAAAGAGAGACGGGAGGAGUAAUCAAAGAGAGGUGGGAGGAGUAAUCAAAGAGAGGUGGGAGGAGCAAUCAAAGAGAGGUGGGAGGAGUAAUCAAAGAGAGUUGGGAGGAGUAAUCAAAGAGAGUUGGGGGGAGUAAUCAAAGAGAGGUGGGAGGAGUAAUCAAAGAGAGGUGGGAGGAGUAAUCAAAGAGAGGUGGGAGGAGUAAUCAAAGAGAGGUGGGAGGAGCAAUCAAAGAGAGGUGGGAGGAGUAAUCAAAGAGAGGUGGGAGGAGUAAUCAACGAGGUGGGAGGAGUAAUCAAAGAGAGGUGGGAGGAGCAAUCAAAGAGAGAUGGGAGGAGCAAUCAAAGAGAGGUGGGAGGAGUAAUCAAAGAGAGGUGGGAGGAGUGAUCAAAGAGAGAUGGGAGGAGCAAUCAAAGAGAGGUGGGAGGAGUAAUCAAAGAGAGGUGGGAGGAGUAAUCAAAGAGAGGUGGGAGGAGUAAUCAAAUAGAGAUGGGAGGAGUAAUCAAAGAGAGGUGGGAGGAGUAAUCAAAGAGAGGUGGGAGGAGUAAUCAAAGAGAGGUGGGAGGAGUAAUCAAAGAGAGGUGGGAGGGAAGGAGAGAUUGUGACAACACAGUGUGGGGCUCCCUUCAUGAAAAAGUCUUGACUACUUUGUAUCAUGCACAAGCACAUUUCAAUUGACUAGUUGUUCACUUGACACCACACACAGGUUGUUGUCCAUUGUUCAAGUACAUUACAGGUGUCAGAAGUGGAAUGGCAGUGGACAACAACUGUGUGGGGUAUCAAGUGAACGACAAGCCCAUUGGACAGGAGAGGGAGAGUGCCAGAGGGAGAAU